UACAGAGGAGCCAAGCGUUGUCCGGAUUGACUGGGCGUAAAGCGCACGCAGGCGGUCUGGCGCGUGGGGUGUGAAAUCUGGCCGCUUAACGGCCAGGCGCAUCCCAUACGGCCGGACUGGAGCCUUGCAGACGGUCGGUGGAAUUGCCGGUGUAGUGGUGAAAUGCGUAGAGAGUCGGCAGGAACACCCAGGGGGAAAACCAGCCGACU
rnacentral:rRNA from 1 species